rnacentral:rRNA from 1 species
GAUGAACGCUGGCGGCGUGCUUAACACAUGCAAGUCGAACGAAGCAUUUAGGACAGUUUGCUUCGGUUGGGAGUCGAUUAUGACUGAGUGGCGGACGUGUGAGUAACGCGUGUGUAAGCUGCCUUGUACUGGGGGGUAGCAGCUGGAAACGGCUGGUACUGCCGCAUAGUGGGGCAAUGUUAGAUGCGGUGGUUGGGAAAAGUCUGGUGGGAUAUGAUGGAGCCGCGUCUGAUUAGCUAGAUGGUGGGAUAGCAGCCCACCAAGGCGAGGAUCAGGAGCCGAGCGGGGAGGCUGACCCGCCACAUCGGGACUGAGGCACGGCCCAGACUCCGACGGGAGGGAGGAGUGUGGAAUAUUGCACAAGGGAGGAAACUCUGAUGCAGCGGCGCCGGGGGAGUGAAGAAGUAAGUCGUUAUGUAAAGCUCUAUCAGCAGGGAAGAUAGUGACGGUACCUGACAAAGAAGCACCGGCUAAAUACGUG